AAAUAAAGAUACCAGCAAUCAAAAAUCGGAUAUUUGCUUUAAUAUAGGUUGUUAAGAUUUCGCAACAGAAACGUCAAAUUGUAUUUUUUAAUCGUAAAUUAACCAUCCUAACACACUACUAAAAAAUUAAUAUUAAUGAUGCUCUUUUUGGUUACAUUUGAAAGCAUCAGCAAAUAAAGAGUCGCCGCGUAUUUAUAUAUCGACGCUCAUGCCAAGUAUUAGUAAAAUAUAUUCUGACACUUUAAAACAUUAAAAACGUGAAAUUAAUAGUAAAAUUUAUUAUUCAGUCGGUUAGAUUGGUAUAAUAGACGGUUCAUAUGCUGUCAUUUUUGAAGUGUCGGUAUUUGCUAUAUUACAGGGACGCUUUCUUCAAUCGU
rnacentral:lncRNA from 1 species